UAUCUCUGUAGAGUCUGCAUAUCAAUAAGCGGAGGAAAAGAAACUAACUAGGAUUCCCUCAGUAACGGCGAGUGAAGCGGGAAGAGCUCAAAUUUGAAAUCUUCAAGGUUCUACCUUGACGAAUUGUAGUUUAAAGAAGUGUUUUCUGUUGGAGUUUUGGUAAAAGUUCUUUGGAAUAGGACAUCAUAGAGGGUGAGAAUCCCGUAUUUGACCAUUAUUUCCAACUCUUGUGAUACACUUUCAAAGAGUCGGAUUGUUUGGGAAUGCAGUCCAAAAUGGGUGGUAAAUUUCAUCUAAAGCUAAAUACUGGCGAGAGCCGAUAGCGAACAAGUACCGUGAGGGAAAGAUGAAAAGAACUUUGAAAAGAGAGUUAAACAGUACGUGAAAUUGUCAAAAGGGAAACGUUUGACACCAGUGUUGUUUUCUCGAAAAUCAAUUAAAAAUGGCAGGAUUUUGUGUUGUAUUGACUUUAUCAGCUUUCUGCACUUUUUUCUUGUCUUUUUUAAUGCACUUUUCGUUUAACAAGUCAACAUCAAUUUCUUUUGUUGUAAAAGGGUCAUUGGAAGGUGGCUUUCUUUUCGGAGAAAGUGUUUAUAGCCUUUGGCCUCCGCAAUCGGAGAGAUUGAGGUCUGCAGCGUAGAUCCUUCGGGGUUAGAUGCAUUUGUGCUAAGUUAUAGCCUUUCAUAGACAACUUGUUGACUAUGAUCAGUCAUGUAGCUUACUCGCUUAUGUCAUUUUACCUACGCUUAGGAUGUUGAUGUGAUACUGCGAGCA
rnacentral:rRNA from 1 species